UUACUUAUUUUAGAAAUUGUGUGAUACAGAUUUAACUUAUAAUACUAUUUCUAGCCCCAAAUUGUUUAAGUGAAUUUGAUAAACUAGAUUAUUAUGUAUAACCAUUUCUUUCAGUUAAUGGUACUGGAGCAGAUGAUCAUGUAUUAAUAAAGUUGCCCAUGACAAAAUCCUGGCCCUUCCGACCCCCUAAGCCAGAAUUCUUUCUGUCAUUGUUUCAGGCUUCAAAAUGGUGAGAAGAUAAUGAGAAAAGGAAAGAAUCUAUGGAUAAGAAGUAAGGAGAAAAUCGUUGACAAUUGUCAAAAUCUUGCCUCAUUACUUCUCCAGGAAUGAUGUCUAUCCUUUUCUUCAAACACAUUCUGUAUUCUAGGAAUUCUGAAUUAUUUUGGAUUAGCCAAACUCACUAUAAACUCUACUGUAAAGAAGGCAUUCCAAGAGAAGGAACAACGUGAAAAGAAACAAACUCAUGAAGGCCUGAGGCAUGAGCAUGUGUUGAGCAUUUGGGAAAGAACAAAGUCAUGUUAUAAGACCCUAUAAUGCUUGGCAAAAGAUAGUGGCAAGAAAGCUGGGGAAAAAAAGCUGGGAUGACAUGAUAAAGAAUUUUAUAUUUCAG
rnacentral:lncRNA from 1 species